GAGAGUUUGAUCCUAGCUCAGGAUGAAUGCUGGCGGCGUGGAUAAGGCAUGCAAGUCAAACGGAUUAUUUCCCGCAAGGGAGAUGAUCAGUGGCGAACGAGUUAGUAUUACCUUGGUACGUACCCUCGAGUCGGGCAUAAUUCAGCGAAAGUUGGACUAAUUCCCGAUAGUCUCGCAAGAGUAAAGUCGCAAGACGCUUGAGGAGCGGCCUCGGUCCUAUCAGCUAGUUGGCGGGGUAACGGCCCACCAAGGCUAUGACGGGUAGGGGGUGUGAGAGCACGGCCCCCAACGACGGAACUGAGAUACGGUCCGUACACCUACGGGUGGCAGCAGUCGAGAAUAUUCGACAAUGGGCGAAAGCCUGAUCGAGCGACGCCGCGUGCAGGAAGAAGGUCUUAGGAUUGUAAACUGCUUUUGCCAGGGAAGAAUUUUGACGGUACUUGGCGAAUAAGGGGUUGCUAACUCUGUGAUCCCAUCAGGGAUGGCGCAGAGCUCCUUCAGUAAUGAAGGAUAGGAAAAUUCAGCUUAUAUGCGGGAACAUUUUUCAUCGGCCGCUGAAGUCUCCGAAAGGAGCACGGUGAACAACAAUCCGCAGGGAAGUGUAGUAUAAUUGAGGUGUAAUGGUUAGCUUAAGACAAAGGCAGAUUCUUAUCGGGAGCAUCUUAGGAGAUGGAGGGGUUUAUGUCCAAAAAAACGCAUCACGAGCUUACUAUACCGUGAAGCAGUCUAAAAGAUAUAAAGAUUAUAUUUACUGGCUGUUCAAUGAACUGCGAGACAAAUGUCCUUCUGAACCAAAGCAACGUAAAGAUAAUCAGCAAUAUUAUUUUUACACAAGCACCGAUGACGAAUUGACAAAGCUCCAAUCUCUAUUCUAUAAAGAUCGGAGAAAAGUUGUGCCUGGAAAUAUUCAAGAAUUACUAACCUCUCCGCUUACGUUAGCGGUCUGGUUCAUGGACGAUGGAACGCUUGAUUAUCGCCUGAAAGACCACUGUGCUUUUCAUCUUUGUACAAAUUGCUUUACAAAGGAAGAGGCUCAGAGACUUGCAAGUGUCCUAGGUGAUAAUUUCGGCAUUGUUGCUUCCGUGCACUACACACUGUGCCGGGGCAAGCGGCAUGCCAGAGUCUACAUCGGUUCGAAAGGAAGAGAUCAAUUUAUUAAAUUGAUCGAACCUUUUGUCUUGGAUUGUUUUAAGUAUAAAUUACCUCAAUUUAGACACCCCUCAGAGACUCAACCACAUGGAUUGGUUGGAUAGUAAGUGAUGAAUGCAAUGAUUUAUUGCUGGAUGGCUUACUAUAAGACGCUGAGCUCCAGUUCUUGAAAAAGGAUUGGAUGAUGAUAUAGUCCAAAUUAAAACACAUAAUAUUAAUUAUGUCGAGGCCAGCAGCAGCGGUAAUACAGAGACCCCGAGCAUUAUCCGGAAUUACUGGGCGUAAAGGGCACGUAGUCGGUUGUGAUAGUCUGAUGUUAAAUCUCAUCGCUCAACGGUGAGGCCGCAUUAGAAACGUCACGUCUAGAGCAAGUCAGAGGCACGCGGAACGUGUGGUGUAGCGGUGAAAUGCAUUGAUAUCACACGGAACACCAAAAGCGAAAGCAGCGUGCUGGGGCUUUGCUGACGAUGAGGUGCGAAAGCGUGGGGAUCAAAAAGGAUUAGAUACCCUUGUAGUCCACGCCCUAAACUAUGCAGACUAGCUAUGGGGAGCAUCGACCCUCUCCGUGGCGCAGCUAACGCAUUAAGUCUGCCGCCUGGGAAGUACGAUCGCAAGAUUAAAACUCAAAGGAAUAGGCGGGAGUUCGCACAAGCGGUGGAUCAUGUGGUUCAAUUCGACACUGAGCGAAAAACCUCACCAGGGCUUGAAAUCCAGCUGCACGCUUCCCGAAAGGGAGGAAGCCUUCGAGGGUGCUGGACAGGUGAUGCACGGCUG
rnacentral:rRNA from 1 species